CUCUCCCUCUCCCCCUCGCACGCUCUCCCUUUCCCUCUCCCUCUCCCUCUGCCUCUCCCUCUCGCUCUCCUCUCACUCUCACUCUCCCUAUCUAUCUCUCUCUCAAAACCCUAUUCCUCUCUCUCUCUCCCCCUCUCUCUCUCUAUCUCUUGGCCCUCUGCUGCAGUUCGGUCUUCUGUUGCUCGUGGAUCUCGGAUUCUCAUCCAUCUCAGGUUUCUUCAAGGCCCUGAUACAGAUCAAGGAACUGUCUCUAAAAUUACAGAGGCUAUCAAAGAACAGAAGGAAAUCACCGUUCAGCUGAUCAACUACACAGAGUGGUAAGUUGCUAAUAUCAGUACUUCCAGGUAUGAUGUCACUAUACCAUGUCAGUUCCAUUAUUUAUUGCAUUAGGAACUCAACUUUUACAGUUGCUUGUUAUGUUUACUAUAAGAUAUCUAUGAAGUAAAGGUUAUUUGUGUGUACUAUUGACACUCUUUGGGGAUAGUUCAUUGGAUCUAUGAGGAGACUGCAUUUGCUCCAUUAAUAAGGAGAUAUUAGGUUUUACCUUUGAUGCUUUUCCAUGUGCUUGACCUUUGAAACCUGGGAACUGCAGGGAAAAAGUUUCUAUAAAUAUGCUAUUUAAUUAUAUUUCAUUUCUUAAUAUCUGUAACUUGCUUUUUUGUCUCAUUUACUUUACUGAUGGGAGUAGGUACAUGUUUUUCUUAACUUGGGUUUCAAUUGUUUCCCUAUGGAGUGUAAAUAAAUUGAGACAGAAACAACCCUGAAAGCAUAUCAGAUUAUCAGUUUUUAAUUGAGUGGCUUACAGUUUUUUUCUGAAAAUAUUCCAGACACUAGAAAGGAAAGAAUCUUUGAAUCUACUGUCUUGUCUCACAAGUUUCUAUAAUUAUGCUAUUUAAUUCUAUUUCAUUUCUUAAUAUCUGUAACCUGCUUUUUUGUCUCAUUUACUUUACUGAUGGGAGUAGGUACAUGUUUUUCUUAACUUGGGUUUAAAUUGUUUCCCUAUGGAGUGUAAAUAAAUUGAGACAGAAACAAUCCUGCUUCUCGUUUCUCAAUUGUAAUUAUAUCAGGGAUUUUUCGUUUCUCAAUUGUAAUUCUGUCAAUUUCAAUUUGGACCUGAAAAAACGGGGCUUUAAUGACAAUGAGCGUUUGAUUGUCAUAUAAUUUCAUCCAAGUAUUAGGAAAAGCAAAAUAUUUGUUAAGCUUGAUACGUUUGUACUUCUUGUAGUGUCUCCUUCAGCAUAUCUCUUGUAAAAAUUGCUACUGCAUUAGCUGAAAAAUGGGAUUGCUCUGUCUAGGUAGCCAUAUGCAAUUGGGAGCACAUGAUUUGUAGAGCUGUGGGAGCACUUGAUCAUUUCUCUAAUUUAAAUUUCAGUUUACUCAGUUCAUAAUUUCUGUGUUCAGAUAUCCCAAAUACCAAAAACAUUAGUUAAUGCAUACAAGAAAGUAGCAAGAACGUAGGAGGAAAAAGUGCACAUAAUGUCCUAGAUCAAAGCCUUAAAAAACUAACGAGUCCUAAUGAUUUCCUUCUAUGUUCGGCAAUCUCUGCACAUAAUUUGUGAAUAUCAUUAGCCACUGAAUGCAUAUACUUUCACAUAAACCAAAUGAGAAUUCUUCUCUAAAAAUUGAAAAUUUUUUAAGGCAUGGAACUCAACAGAAAUUAAACUGGAAUUCUAAAAACUCAACAAAAAUGUUUCAAAGAGAAAAGGCCAUUGACAAAAUGAAAAUGACUCUUAUCAAGUGUUUGCCUCACUGUCAUCUCAUGCACAUGCCAGUCCUCCUGACUAAGAUAAUCCGAAGUCCUUUGAUGAACGAACUCCUUCAUCCCAUGUCCAUUAUAGGUAAUGCACCCUGAUGUUUGUAAACAUUUCAACGGCAGUAACAAGUCACACAGUUUUUUCUUUUCUUUUAAGAGAACAACUGUGAAACAAAUUUGACAUGGUUGUUGCUGCCAAACAGGGAUAUGAGGUGCUGGACAGAGUUCCAUGAAAAUUCCAAAUCGGCAAAAAGUUUUUGAAUAGGUAAACUGGGCUUGAAUCAGAGACCUAAUACCUCUCCACAGUCCACACAAACAUUUAAAUGCAGCACAAAUGCAUAUGGGGACAUCAUAGCUGUACAAAAAGCUUGGUGGUCAUUGGUUGGAUCCUUGUCGCGGGCACAUUUGUCUUGUGUGGUGUAUUUCUUCUUCUCCACAAGACGUGAUCGAAGUUCUUCUUACUAGUAUCCGUGGGGUUACUGUUGCUAGAGGAAUUGUCUUGAGUAAGGAUCCGCUCACAAAAGUAGGCGGGUUCCCACUUGGAAAUGGUUUUUGGGAAGUAUAUAUUUAGGUGGCAAUUGUACGUGAAGAGACUUUGAUGAGACCCUAUGGACGAUACGUAACAAUUGGGGAUGCGGUUGGAACAAGUAUUUGUUGGCCUGAUUGUUGUUGUUUGGUUGUGACAGCUAUGGAUUGAGCUAAAUGGAGGGAUCUCUCUCUCUCUCUCUCUCUCUCUCUCUCUCUCUCUCUCUCUCUCGUUAUAUUUGAAAACAAAAAAAAAAAAUUGAUCUUGGCAGUUGGUUGUGACAGCUAAUGUUUGUUUCAUGGUAGUAUUUUUUUCACGUUUCCGUUUUCAGAAGUUCAGAGAAGUAAAAUUUCUAAGUUGGUUUGAAAUUUUUUUUUUAGUUCUGUCUUCUGAUUUUUUUUUGGAUUCGAAGUGGAAUUGGAGUUUUAGAACAUCUUAUUGAGUUGGUGAAUAGCUGGUUUUGGAAACUGAUUCUUGUCGAAGAAUCGGUUUCUUGGAUUUUGGUUGAAGGGGAUUUUAGCUGUAUUUUACUGAUUUUGUGGAAGCAUCGUGGUGAAUUAGAUGUUUGGUUUUGAAGAUAUUUUGCAUUUUGAUAUCGUUUAGAAGGAAUUGCAGCUGUUUUGAAUGUAGUGAAUUGAUUGAAAUGUCUCAAUUAUGAUAUUUUCUGUAGUUUCUCUCACAGAUUACAUUGAUGUCUUGUUUUACAAAAACAAAGUUGUGGUGGUUUCCAUGUUGUGUGAAAUGGAUGUGGAAAUGUCUUAUAUCAGAAAUACAACUCUUUACAUAUUCGUAGUGGGAUUCCAUCGCUAUGUUCUUGAAAUAUUUAGUAGUUUUGCUUGACUAAUCUAUGGAGAUUUAUGUUGUGAUUUGUUUCAGCUUUUCAUCUUCUUAUGGUGUAGAUGCAUUUUCCCUUCUUAUAGUGGAGAUGCAUUUUCAUCCGGACUACUUGGCAGUAAGAGUGAGGUGGAUGUAAGUUUCUCGAAACCUUAAAUUAAUCUGUGACAUUCAUAAACUUGUGCCUAUAUCUUCUAUUUUAACUGCCUGAUGUAGCAUGUAUAACUAUUGACAUGACCAUGAUAAGGCUGAUAAUUGAUUUUUGGUAAUUGUAAUGAUGGCAAUCAAUAGAUAAAUGGUACAUAUUACUGGGCUAUGGGCCCCACUUGUCAUUUCUGAAUACCUGUGUAUAUUGUUAAGAGAUGCGCAUUACGUAUAUAGGGAGUUAUUUGAUACUCUGGCAGCGUAUGACACUUAACAAUAUAUUUCUUGUUUUGUUUCUACUUUAGAAUUAGAUGAUAUUUCCAAGCUCGUGCUUGAAUUAUUUGAAGUGCCUAUGAUGGCUUUAAAUAUACUUUUGAGUUAUAACUAUGAAAAAAUAUGAUCAAGGCACGUCUAUUUAUCUUUAUUUUUUUCUUAAUUAUUCUCUAUUCAAUUUCAGAUGAUUGCUUUCAACUUAGAGAAUAGAGGCUUUAUUACUCGAACUCUAUUUAUAACAAUUCACAUUUAUUUUAGAAAUAUUUGUGCCCGUGAUUUGUUUGCUUUUUGUGCAGAUUUUGAAUAAAAGGCUUUAUCAGCAUGCCUUGGCUGUCUUCUUGUGUUAAUUACAGCAAGAAGUGUGUUCGUUUGGUAGUGUUCUUUUGUGUCAUAUUGUAAGAUUCAAGCUUUUCCGUGAAGAUGGUUUGGAUUUUUGGGGCGGCUCAUGCAGGUGAAAUACCUUUGAAUCAUGAAAGCAACUCACAAGACUAAUGUAGAUUUUUACUUUGGCAUGUGAAAUCAUUUCUUUUAUGGACACGAUAUGUACUAACUUCAAGCCUUUUUGCAGUCAUCAGGAUAUUUGUGUUGGGACCUGUACCAUUUUAGUUCUGUCUUUCUUCAAUAAAGCAGUGGUGUGUCUAUAUUGAACCGAAACAUGAAUUUAAUGUCUGGAACAUGCUAGAUUGGGCUCUUAGUCAAUUGGUACGUUUAAAUUGACACUUCAGUUUACAGAGGAUUAUCCAAAUAAGCCACCAACAGUUCGGUUUGUUUCUAGAAUGUUUCAUCCAAACA